GGUUCGAUGGCGUAGUUGGUUAUCGCAUCUGUCUAACAACGUCCUUGUUCACAGAAGGUCCUCAGUUCGAACCUGGGUCGAAUCA
rnacentral:tRNA from 1 species